CCUACGGGAGGCAGCAGUGGGGAAUCUUAGACAAUGGGGGAAACCCUGAUCUAGCCAUGCCGCGUGAGUGAUGAAGGCCUUAGGGUCGUAAAGCUCUUUCGCCAGGGAUGAUAAUGACAGUACCUGUAA
rnacentral:rRNA from 1 species